rnacentral:siRNA from 1 species
GGAGGGCUGGCAACGACGGACAUG